CGAACGCUGGCGGCAGGCCUAAUACAUGCAAGUCGAACGGCUCUUCGGAGCAGUGGCGGACGGGUGAGUAACGCGUGGGAAUGUGCCCUUUGGUACGGAACAACACAGGGAAACUUGUGCUAAUACCGUAUGUGCCCUUCGGGGGAAAGAUUUAUCGCCAUUGGAGCAGCCCGCGUUGGAUUAGGUAGUUGGUGAGGUAAAGGCUCACCAAGCCUACGAUCCAUAGCUGGUCUGAGAGGAUGACCAGCCACACUGGGACUGAGACACGGCCCAGACUCCUACGGGAGGCAGCAGUAGGGAAUCUUGCGCAAUGGGCGAAAGCCUGACGCAGCCAUGCCGCGUGUAUGAUGAAGGUCUUAGGAUUGUAAAAUACUUUCACCGGGGAGGAUAAUGACGGUACCCGGAGAAGAAGCCCCGGCUAACUUCGUGCCAGCCGCCGCGGUAACAC
rnacentral:rRNA from 1 species